rnacentral:rRNA from 1 species
GAAGGGGCUAGCGUUGCUCGGAAUUACUGGGCGUAAAGGGAGCGUAGGCGGAUAGUUUAGUCAGAGGUGAAAGCCCAGGGCUCAACCUUGGAAUUGCCUUUGAUACUGGCUAUCUUGAGUACGGAAGAGGUAUGUGGAACUCCGAGUGUAGAGGUGAAAUUCGUAGAUAUUCGGAAGAACACCAGUGGCGAAGGCGACAUACUGGUCCGUUACUGACGCUGAGGCUCGAAAGCGUGGGGAGCAAACAGGAUUAGAUACCCUGGUAGUCCACGCUGUAAACGAUGAGUGCUAGUUGUCGGCAGGCAUGCCUGUCGGUGACGCAGCUAACGCAUUAAGCACUCCGCCUGGGGAGUACGGUCGCAAGAUUA